rnacentral:rRNA from 1 species
AUUGAACGCUGGCGGCAGGCUUAACACAUGCAAGUCGAGCGGAGAUGAGGUGCUUGCACCUUAUCUUAGCGGCGGACGGGUGAGUAAUGCUUAGGAAUCUGCCAUUUAGUGGGGGACAACAUUCCGAAAGGAAUGCUAAUACCGCAUACGUCCUACGGGAGAAAGCAGGGGAGCUUCGGACCUUGCGCUAAAUGAUGAGCCUAAGUCGGAUUAGCUAGUUGGUGGGGUAAAGGCCUACCAAGGCGACGAUCUGUAGCGGGUCUGGGAGGAUGAUCCGCCACACUGGGACUGAGACACGGCCCAGACUCCUACGGGAGGCAGCAGUGGGGAAUAUUGGACAAUGGGCGGAAGCCUGAUCCAGCCAUGCCGCGUGUGUGAAGAAGGCCUUUUGGUUGUAAAGCACUUUAAGCGAGGAGGAGGCUACUAGUACUAAUACUACUGGAUAGUGGACGUUACUCGCAGAAUAAGCACCGGCUAACUCUGUGCCAGCAGCCGCCGUAAGAC